UACAGAGGUCCCAAGCGUUGUUCGGAUUCACUGGGCGUAAAGGGUGCGUAGGUGGUGGGGUAAGUCUGAUGUGAAAGCUUCGAGCUCAACUCGGAAAUGGCAUUGGAAACUGCCUUGCUGGAGGAUUGGAGGGGAGACUGGAAUUCUCGGUGUAGCAGUGAAAUGCGUAGAUAUCGAGAGGAACACCGGUGGCGAAGGCGAGUCUCUGGACAAUUCCUGACGCUGAGGCACGAAAGCUAGGGGAGCAAACAGG
rnacentral:misc_RNA from 1 species